rnacentral:rRNA from 1 species
UGGGGAAUCUUGCACAAUGGAGGCAACUCUGAUGCAGCGACGCCGCGUGAGCGAUGAAGCCCUUCGGGUGUAAAGCUCUUUCGGCAGGGAAGAUAAUGACGGUACCCGUAGAAUAAGCCCCGGCUAACUUCGUGCCAGCAGCCGCGGUAAUACGAAGGGGGCUAGCGUUGCUCGGAAUUACUGGGCGUAAAGCGCACGUAGGCGGUCUUUUAAGUCGGGGUGAAAUCCUGGAGCUCAACUCCAGAACUGCCUUCGAUACUGGAAGACUUGAGUCCGGAAGAGGCGAGUGGAAUUCCUGGUGUAGCGGUGGAAUGCGCAGAUAUCAGGAGGAACACCAACGGCGAAGGCAGCUCGCUGGGACGGUACUGACGCUGAGGCGCGAAAGCGUGGGGAGCGAACAGGAUUAGAUACCC